AUCCUGCUGGAUCCUUCAGGCACACAGGCCAGGAUUGCUGCAGGAAUGCCAGAGACUGAUGAGUGCACUAAUUGCAGAGUGGGAAAGAACACCUGCUGAUUCUCAGCUGAGUUAUCAGCCUUAUGUCUGUGAAUGUUUCUCUGUCGAGUUCUUAUGUAGCUGUGAUUUCCUUUGGAAAUUCGUGGGUCGUACGGAGCGCUGAAUCACAGCAGCUCAGCACGCAGCCUUCCACCUUCAUGGAUGACACUCUUUCUGCUUGGAAUCAGUGACUGACUCCUCUGCAGGCUUUCUGCUCUUUGAAUCCUUGUUCACUUGAUUUCUAGCUUUUGGGGAUGAAUUUACCUUCCUGUGUACUCUAUUUACUAGGGAAUGUGAUUUUCAGAAGAUAUUAGGCAUGCUUGAAGAAUACUUUGGGGGACAAAUUCUUCAGAGGAGCAGAGAAACCUGGCUUCAGGAAGGGCAACCUUCCUGAAUCAAGCUUCCUCUGAAGAAGGUGACCAGACAGUCUCUGCUGGCAUCAUGGAAACAGAGAUGAAGGUCAUGAACACUCAAGGCUGGAGAAAUUUCUCUGUGUCGGACUGCAGAGGUACACCACCCCCCCACCCCCCUCCCCCCCGGCCUGAAGGAAGGAACUUCCAGGAGGAA